UGGGGAAUAUUGGACAAUGGGCGAAAGCCUAAUCCAGCCAUGCCGCGUGUGUGAAGAAGGUCUUCGGAUUGUAAAGCACUUUAAGUUGGGAGGAAGGGCAGUAAGCGAAUACCUUGCUGUUUUGACGUUACCGACAGAAUAAGCACCGGCUAACUCUGUGCCAGCAGCCGCGGUAAUACAGAGGGUGCAAGCGUUAAUCGGAAUUACUGGGCGUAAAGCGCGCGUAGGUGGUUCGUUAAGUUGAAUGUGAAAGCCCCGGGCUCAACCUGGGAACUGCAUCCAAAACUGGCGAGCUAGAGUAGGGCAGAGGGUGGUGGAAUUUCCUGUGUAGCGGAGAAAUGCGUAGAUAUAGGAAGGAACACCAGUGGCGAAGGCGACCACCUGGGCUCAUACUGACACUGAGGUGCGAAAGCGUGGGGAGCAAACAGG
rnacentral:rRNA from 1 species